AUGCGGUUCGCCGCUCAUUGGUGAUUCAUAAUAACUGUCGAAUCGCACGGCUUGCGCUGGCGAUGCUUCAUUCAAAUAUCUGCCCUAUCAACUUUCGAUGGUAGGAUAGUGGCCUACCAUGGUUUCUACGGGUAACGGGGAAUAAGGGUUCGAUUCCGGAGAGGGAGCUGAGAAACGGCUACCACAUCCAAGGAAGGCAGCAGGCGCGCAAAUUACCCAAUCCCGACACGGGGAGGUAGUGACAAUAAAUAACAAUAUAGGGCCCUUUCGGGUCUUAUGAUUGGAAUGAGCACAAUUUAAAUCCCUUAACGAGGAACAAUUGGAGGGCAAGUCUGGUGCCAGCAGCCGCGGUAAUUCCAGCUCCAAUAGCGUAUAUUAAAGUUGUUGCAGUUAAAAAGCUCGUAGUUGAACUUCAGAGCUGGCCGGAUGGUCUGCCUAACGGUAUGUACUGUCUUCGGCUGGCUCUUACCUCUUGGUGAGCCAUCAUGCCCUUUGCUGGGUGUGGUGGGGAACCAGGACGUUUACCUUGAGAAAAUUAGAGUGUUCAAAGCAGGCAUAUGCCCGAAUACAUUAGCAUGGAAUAAUAAAAUAGGACGUGCGGUUCUAUUUUGUUGGUUUCUAGAGUCGCCGUAAUGAUUAAUAGGGAUAGUUGGGGGCAUUAGUAUUCAGUCGCUAGAGGUGAAAUUCUUGGAUUGACUGAAGACUAACUACUGCGAAAGCAUUUGCCAAGGAUGUUUUCAUUAAUCAAGAACGAAGGUUAGGGGAUCGAAAACGAUCAGAUACCGUUGUAGUCUUAACAGUAAACUAUGCCGACUAGGGA
rnacentral:rRNA from 1 species